AUGUACGUUCCUACAACAUAGCGUUAAUGCACUGGAUCACAUUAGAACUCCGCAUUUAAUCAUGCUCAGGCUAGAGUAGUACUGAGAUGGGUGACCGCCAGGGAAGUCCUGGUAUUUUACAUG
rnacentral:rRNA from 1 species